rnacentral:rRNA from 1 species
UACGUAGGGGGCAAGCGUUGUCCGGAAUCAUUGGGCGUAAAGCGCGUGUAGGCGGCCCGAUAAGUCCGCUGUGAAAGUCCAGGGCUCAACCCUGGAAUGCCGGUGGAUACUGUCGGGCUCGAGUCCGGAAGAGGCGAGUGGAAUUCCUGGUGUAGCGGUGAAAUGCGCAGAUAUCAGGAGGAACACCAAUGGCGAAGGCAGCUCGCUGGGACGGUACUGACGCUGGGACGCGAAAGCGUGGGGAGCAAACAGG